rnacentral:lncRNA from 1 species
GCCGCUGGCACGAACGGUACCGCGAUGUCCGAGUCGUUCUCCUCUUCCCCCCGUCGCAUCCUGCACGUCCCGCGCAGGCAGCCCGCGAGCAGCUGCUCGUUACAGUCCCGCCACCAGCAAGAUCAAGACCAGUUCAGUUCACGUCCCCCAGGAAGGACUCACCCAACCAUCCUGAUAAAUAAUGAAUUCAUGGAGGCAGGUGGAGUCACGCCUUUUUCUGCUCCUGCCUCCACCUCUCCUCCGUGCAGCUUCGUCUUCAGCCACGCUGCCGUUCCCGCUUCGCUCCCUGUUUGCAAAAUAACGCUGCCUCUCCGCUCCAACAGCGUUUUCCACCUGUUGCUCAAAAGAGAAGCUCUUGCUCAGGAAACGUAAUAACUUUGGCCUGGAGGCUGCGGCGCGAGUGUAGGGAACAUCCAGGAGGGGAAGGAACUCCGCAGAAAAGACUUCGGGGCCCAAAGAAGGAGCACGUCGGCUGCCUGUCCCGGAGCUGAACUUGGCCGGCUCGCUGUGAUGCCGCUGGUGGGAGCUGCGUGUCCUCCAACCUGCGAGGAGGCUCUUCCCCUGCUCGCCUCAGGCUAUCCUGGCCGUCACAGGCCCUGUCCGCGGGAAUUAAAAUCUCUAUUCAUCAAGUCUGGACUGGAGCUGUCUGGGGACGGGUCGGGGGGAAAUGGCACAGUCACUGGGACUCUGAUGGUGAGUUCAUCACGCAGAGAUGUGCCCCUGCAGGUUGUUUUUUUUUUUUCUUUCUUGACAACACGUGUGAAGUAGAGGUAAAAAAAAAAACGACUCAUCACAGCUUCACACUUUGUUUCUGCGCCAGCUCCAGCACUGACCUGAAUGUGAAUCAUUCUUUCAUGUUAUGCUUUAAAGAAGCGUGCACGUAACAAUUUAAAUGUGGUCUGUAAAUGCAACCCGCGUGUCUGCGUGCGGCUGCCUGAAGCAGAGACUGCGUCGCCCCCUGCAGCCGCUCUGCAUCACAGCAGCAGUAGGCCGCAUUUCAUCUGACAGCGCCUGCAGAGCCGAGACCAGGUCUCUGCUGACCUCUGUUGGUGAAAUGCUGGGCGUGAUGGACACAAACUGACUGCGGGAUGGAGAUCAAACACACCGGCGUCUCCCGCUGAGGUCCUGCCCACCUUCGCCAUCUCUCAGCUUGGACCAUCUCAUCUCUGAUUUAGCCUCCUAUUUCCAUUUGUUUCAUGUUUUGUGUUUCAUCAACUGGAAUUAAAAAAAAAUAAAUAAUAUUCAAUCUGUACA